UUAUACAUGAAGAGUUUAAUUUAAAUACAUUGAUAAGGUAUUAUAUUUCUUUUGAAGGUACUGCAGGCAUUCUUUAUUAUGUUUUGUUUGUAAAUUCCUUCAUUUAAGGGUUGUUUCAAGAUAAGCAACAUUUGCAUCAGCUCAAUUUUGUGCUUUUUAUCUGUGUCUUGAGCAUCUUGAUUUGUUCUAUUAUCAACACGAUAAAUAAUUAGUGGGGCUCCACCAAAUUCACUUAAAAUUUUUUCCCCGUGCAUUUAGGGUUGUUUUUUAGUGUUCCAAAAGUACCUUAAAGGUGGGGAAGACACAUAUUUCCUGACAUAACACUCAUCACCUUUUGCAUGCAUUUUGAAUUUCAAAAUUUAAUACAAUAGAAGAGGAAGAAGGAAAAGGAGGUUUAUUAGGCUAUCUUUUAAUCUUUGUUUUUAAACUCAUGUGCUAUUGAUGUAGAUGACCACCUAUUCCAAUAUUAUUGACAUUCAAUAUACAUAAGGUAAUGAGUGUUAUGAUGGAAAAUAUGUGAGCCCCUCAUCUAAAUAUCUACCAUCAACACCAUUCUUUGCUUACUUCCAUUGUAGAUUUUCAGUUUUUCAUUUGUUUUGAUUAUAUUUAUGAAAUUACUCCCAAAUAAUCAACUUCAGUCUAAAAUUUCUCAUUUUUCAUUUCUUUUUAACAUCUUUAUCAUCUAAGAUUGCAGCGAGAUUUUUGUUUGGUGAAUCUUGGUUUAUUUCUUGCUACAAUGACAAAGUAAAUCAGUGUCGUAAAUGCUUGUUUUGGUACUCAUUUGUUAAAUGGAGGUCACCCAUUAAGUGAUGGUUUGAAGAAGAGUUAGGGAUGAGUUGCAAGAUAAAUGUUAAGGAAAUUAUGAUUUCUAUGGCCUAUAAUUUGACUCUGGUUUUGAUAAAUCCAUUCAUGGGAGUAUGGGAAGAAUAAUAUUAAAAUUCUAGCACCUCUACAAUGUUGAAUGCUGUAACAAAAGACAAAACUUCCCUCUGUGUAAAACCAACAAAUUUACAUUUGUAUUGUUAUCUUUAUGUUAUAAUAUCUGCCAUGUAUUUUUCAUAUCUUUAAUUAUUGCACCAAUCUUUGAAAUAAAUUUAAAUGGCAACCACUCUAUGUACACUACUACCCACGAUAUUUUUCAUCCAUUCUGUUCCCCAGAACAACUAUAUUAAUAAAACCUUCACCGCCCAAUUUGGCCACCCUGCCCAUAGAAUUUCAAGUUGCCUUUUUAGAAAUUCCAAAUUGUCUUUUAUUAUAUUCUUAAUUUCCUACCUGCAUGCAAUGCACCUAUCCUCUUGAGUCACUAUUUUCCGCAUUGUUUCAUGACAUCAUCUUCUACUUCUUUCCUUACAUGAAUCUAAGGGAGCUGUUUUUGAUUCUAGCAUUGACUGAAUCAAUCGUCCACUUGACAUUGACAUGACCACAUUUCAAAUACACCUAAUUUGAAUCAGAGCUACGCUGCUUCUAGAGGCUAGAGACGCGUGGAGGACAUCGUUUAAUUUCACACUUUGUAAUCACAAUAUCACUUUGUACCUUCAUUGUAUUUCUUUCAGUUUAACAUAUUUAAUUGAACUUUAUUGUGUUACAUAUUCACCAUCCAUAGUUCAUUAUAGAGUCUCACAUUUACAAAUUUGGGACCCCUGCACUUCUCAUUGUCACUGUUUGGUUUGCUUUCACUGUCUAUUAUUUUUUCCUCUUAUUUGUCUUAAGUAACCCAUGCAAUAUCCUCUUGAUUGAAGUCCACUUUUUGGACAAAAAAUAUUUACUUUCACAUCCAUAACAUUUAACUGAUAUAUACAUUUCUUCUUCUAUAUAUUUCUUACUGUAAAAAUCAACUUCAGAAUUCUUUUUCUUGUCUAUUAUGAUUAUAUGUCUUUAAUUUUCAAUUCAGUAUCUAAAAGGCCCGUAUAAGUCUGAGAUUUAAGCAAUCUGUCGUCUUUAUGUCUUCUAAGUCUUUAACCAAAUAAGAUGUCUUCUCUGUAAACCGUAUGUCUUUCGGGUUCACAGAAUAUCUUCCAACAGUUAAUGAUACAUCUUCUGAGCAACUCCUUACAGGGUGUCUAGCCAUCGGGAAAUAGCGGGAAUUUUUUGGUAGCGGGAAAAGACGGGAAAACAACGGGAUUUUUUUUCGAGAUCGGGAAUUUUCGGAGAAAUGCACAGAAAGUUGUAGUUUCAAUACAUAAUUUGCUUCCUGCUAGCAAAAUUGAUAUAGGAUUUUCAACUAAGAGCGCAUUGAAGAAUGCUAAAAUCAAGCCCUCUGGUGAAUUAUUGACUAAAUUCAUGAUUGAUUGUAAAAAUUGUUUCGUUAAAAUUAUUAAAAAAAUUCAAGAACGAUCACCUCUAUUGUAUAAACUUACAAAGUACAUAACUUGUGUGAAUCCAAAUUUAAUCGCACAUCAAUCCAACGUAGCUCUACAGCGACUUGACUCUUGCUUGGCUGUUCUGGUUGACACGAACAAGUUGAUUUCUGGCUCGACGGCUGACAAAAUAAAAAAAGAGUAUCGAGAUAUUCUACAAUUUUCUAACACCAUUCAAUCUAUGAAGAUAUAUAAUCGAAAUGUAAAAAGGCUUGAUAAAUUUUGGAUAGAAUUGAUAGAAGAUUCCGGUUUGACCUGCCCGAACUUGAUUAAUUUUCUAGAAAUAAUUUUCAUUUUAUCUCAUGGAAAUGCAGCAGUUGAGCGCGGAUUUUCCGUAAACAAAGAGGCAAUCGUUGUAAAUCAGGCGGAAAACAGUCUAGUUGCCUUGCGCAUCAUUUAUGAUGCAGUUACUGCGGCAGGGGGCAUCAAACACGUAUCUAUCACAUCUAAAAUGAUGUUGAACAUGGGAAUGGCGCAUAGUAGAUAUGUGGAGUUCUGUCAGAAUAAAAAAAUGAAGAUGCACAAAAACAAAAGGAGUCUAAUGAAAGAAAAAGAAAA